UGCGCCCUUCAGGAUCCGGGCUCUGAGCCGCGGGGUGAUCUGCGAGGUGUCCGAAGCCAAAUCGGACCUUGAUGGGUCAGUCGGGGGCUCCAGAUUCUUGGCAACUGGACUGAAGAAAUUAUUUUGGGAAAACCCCAAAGUGAGAAAAACAAGUGCUGAGUAAUUUUCUUGGGUGUGCGCCCAUCAUGCACUGCAAAAUGCGAAUGUUUGCUUUUUCCUAAGAUGCAGUGACUUACUUAGACACAGUAACUGCUUCUCUGGACAUAGGUUGCCUUGCUUGCUUAAAAGGAACUCAAGAGAGGGAACUAGAUGCCCUGUGAGCGCACUUAGCAGGUGUGGGCAGGCGACAUCGCUCUGGGAUUCCCAGUGAAUGUGCCCCCAAGUGGGAGGGAAUGUUUUUAUUUAAUCCUACCUAACUCCUACGGGUGCUAAAAGUGUCUGCAUUUAGGUUUGUCCAGGGAGGAUAUAGAUCUAUAAAGAUCUGGAUUGAUCAUAUGUUCUCACAGAUCUGUGUACCGGCAAAGAAAGUUAAACCAAAUUCCCAAAGGUGUGUCAAGCUGUGGGCACAAAAUUAGAGUCUCAUCCAUCGUCUUCAGUGUAAACUGAGUUGUUUGAUCAGUGACUUUGAGAUUUGGGGAGAACCAUGACAUCAUCACGACUCAGCCUUUUCCAUGCAGAGCUGGCUAACCCGCCUGUGUCUCUGUUACUCUGACUCUACCUUCUCUCUCAAGUCCUUACUUGAGGUUCCGGAGGUGGGCCCCUGCUGUGAUCUCCUACUGUGCCUCCCCCAGUAUUUCCUUCUUUUUUCUCCUAAAGAUCAUUUGGUCCGGGCGCGGUGGCUCACACCUGUAAUCCCAGCACUUUGGGAGGCUGAGGCGGGUGGAUUACGCGGUCAGGAGUUCAAGACCAGCCUGACCAACAUGGUGAAACCCCCAUCUCUACUAAAAAUACAAAAAUUACCUGGGUGUGGUGGCACGUGCCUGUAAUCCCAGCUACUUAGGAGGCUGAGGCAGGAGAACUGCUUGAACCCGGGAGGCGGAGGUUGCAGUAAACCGAGAUUGCACCACUGCACUCCAACCUGUGCAACAGAGUGAGACUUUUCAAAAAAAAAAAAAAAGAUCAUUUGGAACCUUGUUUUAAGGAUAUGGGGCUAUUUAGGCUUUCUAUUUCUGUUUUUUUUUUUUUUUUUUUUUUUUUUAAUAGGGUCUUCUCUGUCGCCCAGGCUGGAGUGCAGUGCUGCAGUCGUGGCUCACUGUAGCGUCAGUCUCCUGAGCUCAGGUGAUCCUCCCCUUUAGCCUCCCUAGUAGCUGGGACUACAAGUGUGCCACAGUCAUGCCUGGAUAAUUUUUUUUUUUUUUUUUUUUUUGAGACGGAGUUUUGCUCUGUCACCCAGGCUGGAGUGCAGUGGCACGAUCUUGGCUCACUGCAACCUCCGAAUCCUGGGUUCCAACGAUUCUCCUGCCUCAGGCUC
rnacentral:lncRNA from 10 species